rnacentral:rRNA from 1 species
CCUACGGGUGGCAGCAGUGGGGAAUAUUGGGCAAUGGGCGCAAGCCUGACCCAGCAACGCCGCGUGAAGGAAGAAGGCUUUCGGGUUGUAAACUUCUUUUAUUAGGGACGAAGGAAGUGACGGUACCUGAUGAAUAAGCCACGGCUAACUACGGGCCAGCAGCCGCCGUAAUACGUAGGUGGCAAGCGUUUAACGGAUUUACUGGGUGUAAAGGGCGUGUAGGCGGGGGUGUAAGUCAGAUGUGAAAACUAUGGGCUCAACCCGUAGCCUGCAUUUGAAACUGUACUUCGUGAGUACUGGAGAGGCAAUCGGAAUUCCGGGUGUAGCGGUGAAAUGCGUAGAGAUACGGAGGAACACCAGUGGCGAAGGCGGAUUGCUGGACAGUAACUGACGCUGAGGCGCGAAAGCGUGGGGAGCAAACAGGAUUAGAUACCCGAGUAGUC